GUGGCAGGCCCCGGGAGCGCGCGCGCUCAGCCAACUUCCAGUGCGACGCCGCCCUAGCCGCCGUUCGCGCCUGGGUGGCUGCGAGGACGUCGUCUGGGUUUCGGCCAAUGGCCAGCGCCCACGUCGGGGGAACGCCUCGUGACCGCGCGUCACCGGAGAAAAAGUUGGAAAGCCAGACUGUUGAAAUGAAGGAAGGAAGUCUACAGUUUCUUAUCGCCUUCUUAUCAUCAUGAGGAGCCCCAGAAUUGGAGCCAACUGGGAGGGAAGCAGAGCCAAUAGAUCACAAGCAAAAGACCAAGUCCUGAUGACAAACAUUUGUGCUCCUUGAUCAAGCACAUGAUGGCGCCUUUUGAAAUAUCGAGAAAUACAUGUGUUGAACAUGAAUCUUGGACUGCGAUUGCUUCAAAGGGACUAGGAGAACCUUCCUGGAGUGUAUAUCCAAAGGAAGACCUGUUAGCUGGGGAUGCAGGAGGAGAUUUAUGGAAGAGUGUCUUCCAGGUAGAGACAGACCUUGAGGUAAGAGUACAUCUGUCGGUCGCAGCUUCCAGAGUGAGAAGGAGAGCAGAGAACCAGGCUGGCAGGUGAGCAGGGAUCAGAGGUUUUCGAUCCUGGCUGCAUCUGAGCAUCAAUGAGAGAAUAAGUAAACAACAAGCAAGCAAAUCCAAAGCAAAGCUAUACCUAGGCCCCACCCCCAUUGUGAUUUAAUUGGCCUCUGUGUGGUGUAGUGGGGGUGGUCUUUGACCCUGGCCUCCCAACCCUCAUGGCAGGACACCAUCUCUGCCACCUGCCCAUCAGAUUCCCCCACACUGCAGCUCUCCCUUUGUCUAACAGCCCCUUGCGUGAUUGGGGCACGCAACUAGGAUCAGAAGCAGGGCGAGAGUUUGAAGAGCCUGGUAAUCUAGGCUAAAAAGUUUGAAUUUGCCUUAAGGGCAAGGAAGUGCCUUGUUGAAUAAAUGUGUAUGCCAUCAGCUACCAUUAAUAAUAAUGUUUAAACAGACUUCAGCAUGUUUAUCAAAGCCUGAGAUUUUUCUGGUAACCACCUGGGUAUAUAAAUGUUUUGUGUGAAGGGAUGGGGUACGAGGAAGCACAAAAAUAGAUAUGCUGUGGGAUGGGUUAUAAAUCUAAACUUCAGGACACUCAGAAGAUACAUUUCUAAAUAGGUGCAUGUAAAUGGAAAAUGUGGAAAGCAAAUCAUAAAACCACCUGGGGAGGUUGCUAUUAAAAGAAUCAGUGAAGUAAAACCUACUGAAAUGCUAACAAUAACUCCUGAUUUAUUUGUUCUGCAUUAUUUGGAUUUUCAUAUACAGUAUUGAGUUUUUUAAAAGAUGGUACACAAUGGAACAUUUGCCUGUUUACAUAAACACCAAAGUAUGUUUUAUUUCAUCAGAGGGGAACAAGUCAAGGCAUUUGGGAGUAAACAUGGAUUCAUUUCCAGACUUGAGUUUGAAGUUUUUUAUGGAUAUGAUUUUGAGAAAAUAACCUUUGAGAGACUUCAUUUCCUCAUCAGAAAAAUGAGAAUAACACACCCACCUUACAAGUUUGUGUAAAGGGUUACAGAUGGUAAAGCAAAUAAGACAUCUUGCAUAACACCUGGCGCAUGGUAGGUGCUCAAUAAAUGGUAACUCUUACUAACCUGCUUUCAAAAAGAGUGGAAGAGGCCUUCAGAAUACAUCUUAGAAUUCCUCCAACCUUUCUUAGGUUCUGUUUCCAAAGCAAAUAUUCUGGGCAAAAAAAAAAAAAAAAAAAAAAAAAA
rnacentral:lncRNA from 1 species